UACGAAGGGAGCUAGCGUUGUUCGGAAUUACUGGGCGUAAAGGGCGCGUAGGCGGACAGUUAAGUCGGGGGUGAAAUUCCGGGGCUCAACCCUGGGACUGCCUUCGAUACUGGCUGUCUGGAGAUCGGGAGAGGUGAGUGGAAUUCCGAGUGUAGAGGUGAAAUUCGUAGAUAUUCGGAGGAACACCAGAAGCGAAGGCGGCUCACUGGCCCGAGACUGACGCUGAGGCGCGAAAGCGUGGGGAGCGAACAGG
rnacentral:rRNA from 1 species